rnacentral:rRNA from 1 species
CUAUAAUGCAGUCGAGCGACAGAUAAGGAGCUUGCUCCUUUGACGUUAGCGGCGGACGGGUGAGUAACACGUGGGUAACCUACCUAUAAGACUGGAAUAACUCCGGGAAACCGGGGCUAAUGCCGGAUAACAUUUAGAACCGCAUGGUUCUAAAGUGAAAGAUGGUUUUGCUAUCACUUAUAGAUGGACCCGCGCCGUAUUAGCUAGUUGGUAAGGUAACGGCUUACCAAGGCAACGAUACGUAGCCGACCUGAGAGGGUGAUCGGCCACACUGGAACUGAGACACGGUCCAGACUCCUACGGGAGGCAGCAGUAGGGAAUCUUCCGCAAUGGGCGAAAGCCUGACGGAGCAACGCCGCGUGAGUGAUGAAGGGUUUCGGCUCGUAAAACUCUGUUAUUAGGGAAGAACAAACGUGUAAGUAACUGUGCACGUCUUGACGGUACCUAAUCAGAAAGCCACGGCUAACUACGUGCCAGCAGCCGCGGUAAUACGUAGGUGGCAAGCGUUAUCCGGAAUUAUUGGGCGUAAAGCGCGCGUAGGCGGUUUCUUAAGUCUGAUGUGAAAGCCCACGGCUCAACCGUGGAGGGUCAUUGGAAACUGGGAGACUUGAGUGCAGAAGAGGAAAGUGGAAUUCCAUGUGUAGCGGUGAAAUGCGCAGAGAUAUGGAGGAACACCAGUGGCGAAGGCGACUUUCUGGUCUGUAACUGACGCUGAUGUGCGAAAGCGUGGGGAUCAAACAGGAUUAGAUACCCUGGUAGUCCACGCCGUAAACGAUGAGUGCUAAGUGUU